CCUUGGCCUUGACAUACUAAGAACUUUCCAGAGAUGGAUUGGUGCCUUCGGGAACUUAGAUACAGGUGCUGCAUGGCUGACGUCAGCUCGUGUCGUGAGAUGUUGGGUUAAGUCCGCAACGAGCGCAACCCUUUUCCUUAUUUGCCAGCGGGUAAUGCCGGGAACUUUAAGGAUACUGCCAGUGACAAACUGGAGGAAGGCGGGGACGACGUCAAGUCAUCAUGGCCCUUACGGCCAGGGCUACACACGUGCUACAAUGGUCGGUACAAAGGGUUGCUACCUCGCGAGAGGAUGCUAAUCUCAAAAAGCCGAUCGUAGUCCGGAUCGCAGUCUGCAACUCGACUGCGUGAAGUCGGAAUCGCUAGUAAUCGCGGAUCAGAAUGCCGCGGUGAAUACGUUCCCGGGCCUUGUACACACCGCCCGUCACACCAUGGGAGUUUGUUGCACCAGAAGUAGGUAGUCUAACCGCAAGGAGGACGCUUACCACGGUGUGGCCGAUGACUGGGGUGAAGUCGUAACAAGGUAAGCGUAGAUGA
rnacentral:rRNA from 1 species